GUCUUAUGGAAUGCUGUCUUCCGGGGCAUGACAAAACCAUCACACUCAUGAACUCAGAGCAACUGUGCUUACCUGCAUAAGACCUACACAUGAUUGAGUUGUCAACAUUCCCUCAUGGAAGGGGGAGGGGCGGUUAACAGUUGAUUGGGGGUAGGGCCUCACAAGGCUCCAUCCUUCUCUGAGGACCUAGAGGCAGUUAAUGGUUGCCGGGGGAGGGAGAGACAUUUUCUUCUGGUGUAGUUACUGAAGUAAAGAGCAGCCUCCGCUUGUGCUUCUACUAUGAUACUCUGAUCAAGCAAACAAGACCAAACAAUUAUGAAUUGAACACUCGGAAACAGCAUUUUUAAAGUCACAUACCAGCAGCCAGCAAAUAUUUCACCAACUCCAGGUGUCCCUCCUGAGAAGCCUCCAUGAGAGGUGUGGAGCAGCCGAGUUCUAUGUCAGCUCCUGCCUUAAUCAGGAAAUCUGCAACUUCAGAAAAGCCUCCACAGCAAGCCAAGAGUUCAAAGCCAGCAUGGGCUAGAAAGCAAGACCCUGUGCUUCCUUCAAGACUAGAGAGCUAGAUGACUGUCCACACCUCUAACUCCAGUGGGAGGAGUUAAGAGUUCAAGGUCAUCCUAAACUACAUUAACAGAGACCAAAGAGUAUCGACCAUCCUAAGUUGCUCACACCUGAAAUGUGCACACGUGCUAAAAGAAAUGAAAGAGCUCAACUCAUUUUCUUCACGAGAAAAGGUGUGUGUUGGAUGCCUCACCUUCUCCCAGGCUAAAGACCUCAGCGUUCGACUAUCCAGCUAUUCCGAAGCUCAAAGAUGCCUUGGAACUUCCUUUUCCUGUCGAACUUCACAAAACGUCCAAGAGCCAGUCACGUGAUUAUUUUUUUUGAGCGUGAAAGCUGAGAAACUUAAUACUCACCUGCCUCAAACUAAAGAGAAAAUAAGAAGCGCUCUACUUAAAUGCAUAGGCAAGGUAACACGGUAAGGCAGAGGAACAGCAGAGAGGCUUUUUUGAGCUAGCUGUGUCCUCCAAUCUGUCUCUGGGCUCCCUCAGUACCAAGGGCAGGGACUCGGGCUCCAAAGACCCCGCCCUCCCCCAUCUCCAACGCGGGGUGGGCGGGAGGUAGCCUGCGGAGUCCGGGUUCCCGCGCGAAGCUCGCAGACUAAAGAGCUCCCUAUUGUGGGUCUGCAGACGGGGGACGGGGACCCGUCCCGCUCCAGACGCGCGCCCAAGAGCAAGCAGAGCGCUCGCUAGGCCCGCGCCGCUGCCACCGUCGCCCUGCAGGCGACUGCUGUCAAGAGAGCACUGCACCCGGGAAGCGGGAGAGCGGACCAGCCGCCGGGUGCCGACCCAAAGAAUCCACGUCUCACGCAAUGUUAGAGACAAGGGUCCUGGAGCUAUACCUCGG